AUGGCUGCGUCCCAUGCCCAGGUGUCGAGGCACGAGCGGCACUCGGAUGCAUUGACGUCGGCGCGGCAGUGCGCGAGACCGUACGCCUCGUCGGGCGCUGUGCCGGUGGUGUUCUCGGCCAACCCGGACGCGUCCGACGCAGCGGCGGGGAGGAACGAGAGGAAGGCGUCGAGGUUGGCCUGGAAGACGCCGCCGCGGGUGUAG
rnacentral:rRNA from 1 species